rnacentral:rRNA from 1 species
CAGUCGCCGCGGGAAUACGUAGGUGGCAAGCGUUGUCCGGAAUUAUUGGGCGUAAAGCGCGCGCAGGUGGUUUAAUAAGUCUGAUGUGAAAGCCCACGGCUCAACCGUGGAGGGUCAUUGGAAACUGUUAAACUUGAGUGCAGAAGAGGAGAGUGGAAUUCCACGUGUAGCGGUGAAAUGCGUAGAGAUGUGGAGGAACACCAGUGGCGAAGGCGACUCUCUGGUCUGUAACUGACGCUGAGGAGCGAAAGCGUGGGGAGCGAACAGGAUUAGAUACCCGCGUAGUCCCUGUCUCUUAUAC